AAAUCCGGAAAAUCAAGGCUGAGGCGUGAUGACGAGGCACUACGGUGCUGAAGCACAAAUGCCCUGCUUCCAGGAAAAGCCUCUAAGCAUCAGGUAACAUCAAAUCGUACCCCAAACCGACACAGGUGGUCAGGUAGAGAAUACCAAGGCGCUUGAGAGAACUCGGGUGAAGGAACUAGGCAAAAUGGUGCCGUAACUUCGGGAGAAGGCACGCUGAUAUGUAGGUGAAGUCCCUUGCGGAUGGAGCUGAAAUCAGUCGAAGAUACCAGCUGGCUGCAACUGUUUAUUAAAAACACAGCACUGUGCAAACACGAAAGUGGACGUAUACGGUGUGACGCCUGCCCGGUGCCGGAAGGUUAAUUGAUGGGGUCAGCGCAAGCGAAGCUCUUGAUCGAAGCCCCGGUAAACGGCGGCCGUAACUAUAACGGUCCUAAGGUAGCGAAAUUCCUUGUCGGGUAAGUUCCGACCUGCACGAAUGGCGUAAUGAUGGCCAGGCUGUCUCCACCCGAGACUCAGUGAAAUUGAACUCGCUGUGAAGAUGCAGUGUACCCGCGGCAAGACGGAAAGACCCCGUGAACCUUUACUAUAGCUUGACACUGAACAUUGAGCCUUGAUGUGUAGGAUAGGUGGGAGGCUUGGAAGUGUGGACGCCAGUCUGCAUGGAGCCGACCUUGAAAUACCACCCUUUAAUGUUUGAUGUUCUAACGUUGACCCGUAAUCCGGGUUGCGGACAGUGUCUGGUGGGUAGUUUGACUGGGGCGGUCUCCUCCUAAAGAGUAACGGAGGAGCACGAAGGUUGGCUAAUCCUGGUCGGACAUCAGGAGGUUAGUGCAAUGGCAUAAGCCAGCUUGACUGCGAGCGUGACGGCGCGAGCAGGUGCGAAAGCAGGUCAUAGUGAUCCGGUGGUUCUGAAUGGAAGGGCCAUCGCUCAACGGAUAAAAGGUACUCCGGGGAUAACAGGCUGAUACCGCCCAAGAGUUCAUAUCGACGGCGGUGUUUGGCACCUCGAUGUCGGCUCAUCACAUCCUGGGGCUGAAGUAGGUCCCAAGGGUAUGGCUGUUCGCCAUUUAAAGUGGUACGCGAGCUGGGUUUAGAACGUCGUGAGACAGUUCGGUCCCUAUCUGCCGUGGGCGCUGGAGAACUGAGGGGGGCUGCUCCUAGUACGAGAGGACCGGAGUGGACGCAUCACUGGUGUUCGGGUUGUCAUGCCAAUGGCACUGCCCGGUAGCUAAAUGCGGAAGAGAUAAGUGCUGAAAGCAUCUAAGCACGAAACUUGCCCCGAGAUGAGUUCUCCCUGACCCUUUAAGGGUCCUGAAGGAACGUUGAAGACGACGACGUUGAUAGGCCGGGUGUGUAAGCGCAGCGAUGCGUUGAGCUAACCGGUACUAAUGAACCGUGAGGCUUAACCUU
rnacentral:rRNA from 1 species